rnacentral:rRNA from 1 species
CGUGUAGGCGGACUUGUAAGUCUAUUCUGAAAGCUCCUGGCUAAACUGGGAGAGGCGAAUGGAGACUGCAAAUCUAGAGUGAGGAAGAGGAAAGUGGAAUUCCGCGUGUAGUGGUGAAAUGCGUAGAGAUGCGGAGGAACACCAGUGGCGAAAGCGACUUUCUGGUCCUUAACUGACGCUGAGGCGCGAAAGCAUGGGGAGCGAACGGGAUUAGAAACCCCGGUAGUCCAUGCCAUAAACGAUGUUCACUAAACGUUCGUUUCCCGCGAGGGAAGUGGGUGUUGAAGCUAACGCAGUAAGUGAACCGCCUGGGGAGUACGGUCGCAAGGCUAAA